rnacentral:rRNA from 1 species
UACGUAGGGGGCAAGGCGUUGUCCGGAUUUAUUGGGCGUAAAGAGCGUGUAGGCGGCCUGAAAGGUCAGCUGGUGAAAACUCGAGGCUCAACCAUCGAGACGUCGGUUGAAACCAUCUGGCUAGAGUCCGGAAGAGGAGGUGUGGAAUUCCCGGUGUGAGCGGUGAAAUGACGCAGAUAUCGGGAAGAACACCCGUGGCGAAGGCGGCACUCUGGACGGUACUGACGCUGAGACGCGAAAGCGUGGGAGCGAACAGG